rnacentral:rRNA from 1 species
GAUGAACGCUGGCGGCGUGCCUAAUACAUGCAAGUCGAGCGAACAGACGAGGAGCUUGCUCCUCUGACGUUAGCGGCGGACGGGUGAGUAACACGUGGAUAACCUACCUAUAAGACUGGGAUAACUUCGGGAAACCGGAGCUAAUACCGGAUAAUAUAUUGAACCGCAUGGUUCAAUAGUGAAAGACGGUUUUGCUGUCACUUAUAGAUGGAUCCGCGCCGCAUUAGCUAGUUGGUAAGGUAACGGCUUACCAAGGCAACGAUGCGUAGCCGACCUGAGAGGGGGAUCGGCCACAGUGGAACUGAGACACGGUCCAGACACCUACGGGAGGCAGCAGUAGGGAAUCGUCCGAAAUGGGCGAAAGACUGACGGAGCAACGCAGCGUGAGUGAUGAAGGUCUUCGGAUCGUAAAACUCUGUUAUUAGGGAAGAACAAAUGUGUAAGUAACUAUGCACGUCUUGACGGUACCUAAUCAGAAAGCCACGGCUAACUACGU